GAUGAACGCUGGCGGCGUGCCUAAUACAUGCAAGUCGAGCGAACAGACGAGGAGCUUGCUCCUCUGACGUUAGCGGCGGACGGGUGAGUAACACGUGGAUAACCUACCUAUAAGACUGGGAUAACUUCGGGAAACCGGAGCUAAUACCGGAUAACAUGUUGAACCGCAUGGUUCAACAGUGAAAGACGGUCUUGCUGUCACUUAUAGAUGGAUCCGCGCCGCAUUAGCUAGUUGGUAAGGUAACGGCUUACCAAGGCAACGAUGCGUAGCCGACCUGAGAGGGUGAUCGGCCACACUGGAACUGACACGGUCCAGACUCCUACGGGAGGCAGCAGUAGGGAAUCUUCCGCAAUGGGCGAAAUCCUGACGGAGCAACGCCGCGUGAGUGAAGAAGGUCUUCGGAUCGUAAAACUCUGUUAUUAGGGAAGAACAAAUGUGUAAGUAACUAUGCACGUCUUGACGGUACCUAAUCAGAAAGCCACGGCUAACUACGUG
rnacentral:rRNA from 1 species